GCUUUGAGCGUUCCUGAUGAAGGUAAUUCCAGAAAAGCGCUUCGGACGCAAUAAAUUAUUAAACGUGUUGUUUUAUAUUUUUACUAAGAUUUGUUUGUCCCAGACUCGAAAGAAAACCGUUCGCAUUUGAACAAUAAGAUUUUAAUUGUUUCAACCUCAGGGAUAGAUACCUUAGCUGUAUUUGGUCAAACUUUUAGGAAUGGUUGGUCAUCAAUGCUCUUAAAACUUUGUAUAUUGUUUGGCAUUUAAAUUAAUUUUUUUUUAGAUUCGAGCGUCACUGAUGAGUCAUUUGUACACGGAACUCGUGUCUGGCGCAAAUAUAUACUUAAUUUGAAUCCUGGUUUUGGUUUAUGACCCGGAUUUGUUUUAGCCUAUCGAUUUAUGAGUUUGAACAUCGGUAUACUACUGUUGCCUUUAUCUGGUAUCUAUGAUGAGUGUAUUUAUGCUGUUCGAUUUUUAAUUUGAAUUGUUUCAUCUUAUUGUUCAAAAGGCUUGUCUAUAUAUGAUACUGUUUUAAAACUGGAAACCCCAAUGAGUAUUGUGACCAUGUUUUGUCUAUUGAACUAAAUAGAUUAAAAAGAGAAUUGUUUGUCAAUAUAAUGGAAUUUGAUGCAACUGUCAUGCAAAGUUUAAGCAAGCUAUUUAACCAGAUUCAAUCCACCGUUUUCUACAUAAAAAAAUGUCUGUACCAGUUCAGGAGUUUGACAGUUGUUAUCCAUUCGUUUGGUGUGUUUGAGCUUUUGAUUUUGCCAUUUGAUUAGGUACUUUCCUUUGUGAAUUUUACUCAGAGUUCAGUACUUUUGUGAUUUUAGUUUUUGGUAAAAAAAAAAUUACGACGACGACGGACCACGGAUAGCAAAUGAUGAGAUUUCCUCACUUGGAACCUGUAGAAAAAUGAGAUGUAAAUAAAUUGUUUCAUAUUCAUUU
rnacentral:lncRNA from 1 species